rnacentral:rRNA from 1 species
GACGAACGCUGGCGGCGUGCUUAACACAUGCAAGUCGAACGGAAAGGCCCUGCUCUUGUGGGGUGCUCGAGUGGCGAACGGGUGAGUAACACGUGAGUAACCUGCCCUUGACUUUGGGUUAACUUCAGGAAACUGGGGCUAAUACCGGAUAGGAGCUCCUGCUGCAUGGUGGGGGUUGGAAAGUUUCGGUGGUUGGGGAUGGACUCGCGGCUUAUCCGCUUGUUGGUGGGGUAGUGGCUUACCAAGGCUUUGACGGGUAGCCGGCCUGGGAGGGUGACCGGCCACAUUGGGACUGAGAUACGGCCCAGACUCCUACGGGAGGCAGCGGUGGGGAAUAUUGCACAAUGGGCGGAAGCCUGAUGCAGCAACGCCGCGUGCGGGAUGACGGCCUUCGGGUUGUAAACCGCUUUCGCCGGUGACGAAGCGUGAGUGACGGUAAUGGGUAAAGAAGCACCGGCUAACUACGUG